UAGGGGAGCGUGGGGCUAGUUGUAACAAUUUUAACAAAUAAUUGAAUAUCAUGAAAUGUAUUGGCUAAAUUACUACUAAAUAAAUUUUGAUCGAUACUCUAACUAUUUAUCUAUGAAGUCUAAUCGAAAUAUUAUCAAAUCUACAGGCAACUAUCUCACAAUUAUUAUUUUUUUGAAAAAAGGGAAGUGUUACAACAUACCCCGUGGUUGGGGCUAGUUGUAACAUCUGCUGGAGCAAGUAGUAACAACAAAAAUGACACCUUCAAUUGUUUAAUUUUUUCACAUCUUGGAUCAUUUUGCUUUGUAUAUACCAAAAAUUAACUAGGUAUUUCUAUAAUGUGUUUUUUAUGAAAUAGUUAACUGGAAAAAAAAUAUAAUCAACAAAUUAAAGAUUUUAACUAUCUUUCUUAUUCUGUACUGAAGUAUAAUAUAUAUAAGGUACUUAUAUCAUGUCAACAUGGCACUUAUUAUACAUCCAUGCAGUCUGUGCUCUGUUCACGUAGUUUUUAAAAGGGCCGUAGACUCCUACAUCUCCUACAGAUUCCAAAUUGUGGGAGCAAUUGGAGGGAAACUAUAACAUGACAACAUUGUUUUCUUUGGCUUUUUCGACAACUGGAAUAUUCACAUGUGAGCCAUGGUUAUCAAGCAGUAACAGAACUGUCUCUUUCUUGGUAGGUUUCGCGUCUUUGAUAAAAUGAUCUACAAAAAUCAAACAUUCUUUAUCAGUCAUCCACCUUGAAGAAUUACCAGGUCCAAUGCAAUCUUGAGGUCCACCGCGAAUGAACAUUUCUGAAUAUUUAAGCCGGGGAAAAAUGAACAUCGGCCGUCAGUAACUUACAGCAAUCUGGGGGCAAAUUGUAACAUGUUACAACAAACCCCGAGGUUUUGUUACAACUAGCCCCUUGAUAUAGUUCUUAAUAUUUAUCACGAUAACAAUUAAAUCAACUUAGUCAUCUUGAAAACUGUUAUACAACAUCAUAAAUAGUUAUAUUUUAGCAUAAAAUAAAAUACAUAAAACUUCAAAGCUACGAAAAUAGUGAAACUAACCAAAAAUUUACGUUAGUAAAAUUAUAGGUUACCUGUCAACAAUAAAGCGUUUGCACACACCCACUCACUGAGCCGCCUGGCGGGACCCUGGCUGUGGUAAAGUGGCGUGGCACGUUAUAAGUUUAAGAUUAG